rnacentral:rRNA from 1 species
ACGCCUGAUUAAGCGUACGGCCAGAGCACCGUCAGGAGCUCGGAUCUUGGACAGCUGGCCCCUUCGGGUACCGCAUUGUAAUUUGCAGAGGAUGCCUCGAGGAGCUUUGCCCGUCUAAGUGACCCGACGCGGGCCGGCAUACAGGGAAAGAAUCCCGUCUGGGAUGGGGUGCAAGCGCCGGGGUGAAGCUCCUUCAAGCACUCCAGUUGUUAGGGAAUUGCAGCUCUGUAUGGGUGGUAUAUUUCAUCUAAAGCUAAAUACUGAUCGGAGACCUUGUGCGCACAAGUUGAGUGGUCGAAAGAUGAAAAGCAAUUUGAAAAGAGAGUUAAACAGCACGUGAAAUUGUUGAAAGGGAAGCGCUUGCGACCAGACUCGCUCGCGGGGUUCAGCCGGCCUUCGGGCCGGUUUACUUCCCCGCGGGCGGGCCAGCGUCGGUUUGGGCGGCCGGUCAAAGGCCCUCGGAAUGUAACGCCCCCCGGGGCGUCUUAUAGCCGAGGGUGCCAUGUUGCCAGCCCGGACCGAGGAACGCGCUUCGGCUCGGACGCUGGCAUAAUGGUCGUUAUCCACCCCUCUUGAACAAGGACCA